ensembl:lncRNA
UAUAUAUAUAUAUACACACACAUACAAACACGGAUGUGUGUGUAUGUGGAAACUUGUGACUCGUGAAUGACUUAAAUGACUCAGUGAAUUAAGAUUUAAGCCAAAAUGAUUUUACUUGUGAAAUUGAAUUACUGUGAACUAUCAAACAUCCUUUGAUGCAAAUAAUGGACCUUUAAACACUUAAACAAGCCACUAUCUGUCUUAAAACCAAGACUUGAGUGCAAGCAUCAAGCCCAACUUGCAGAAAAGCAGAGAUGACUUCUCCAAGCAGGAGUAGGAAAACAAGGGUGUGCGGCAAAUUUAUUUGGCAAAUUGUGUGAGAAAAUGAAAAAAUAUAUUCAGUUGUAUUGUUUCUAUGUCCACUCAAUACACAUUAUUAAGACAAUAUACAUUGUGUCCUUUUUGUGUGGUUAUUUCUUGAGAAAUAGAAGAGAGGAUUGCGAAUGUCCAAUAUAAACCCAACUUUAUUCUAUAUAUUUAACCCAACUCAGUUUACAAAACCGAGGGUACCGAUUACAAAACUGAGAGCACGGAUUACACAUGGCUGUAUUUUUUUUCUUACCUGACACUUUGUAAAUAGUUAUACACUCUCUGUCAAACUGUCAAUCAAAGUAAUGUGUGCUGAUUUAUAGCCCUUUGUGCUUCUCAGGCCGACGUUUCUGCAGACAUCAUGGCUGGAAAUGCACAGCAGGGCAACCAACAGGCUGUACCACAAGACGUGGCAGCGAGACGAGCGUAUCUGCAGACUUUAUUAGAUGAUGCAUUGCAGGAGCUUCCCAACGUUGUCGAAGGACAGGAUUAAGGCAGGUGAGCUGCAUGAUGCUGAUCAUCGAAUGAUCGUUGAGCAUAAGAAGGAGGUGGAAGAGAGGUGGUGGUGGUGUUGUUGUUGUUGUUGUUGUUGUUGUUGUAGUCAUUGUUGCUUUUGUUAAAUAAAUGGAUUCUUUAAAUAACCAACACCUGCCUGACUGUACGAGUUAUUUACAUGAACCAGCCGCAGGAACGUCUUGCUAUAAGGGAUGUGAACGUGAUAAUAUCUUUUUGUACACAGCGUAAUGGAACUGAGGCAUCAGGAAUCCCAAAUAGAGCAAACAAUGGGCAAGGUUUUAAAUCUACUCUGAGAACAGUGGACAUGAUGGUAAAGAAACCAGUCCAAAAACCAUGGAGAUCAGGGCAAAAGAAAAACAUAUGGCCAAGAUAACAGGGAGAGCCAUGGCAUUUAUCAGACUUGUCCUCUACUUCUGGAUAUAUUACAGAAAGUCUCGACUUAGACAAAUGGACUCUGUGUAAAACUUUGAACUGGAUGAGUCCAAGACGAGCACAGGAAGUGGUAGACUGUACCCUACCUAUAGCACGUUCCCAACACUCUUAAUUCAUCUGUACUCCUAACUCCAUUUCCCACACAUUCUUAAUUUUGGUACUCACCUCACUACCUAACACCAGAAUUAAAUCAUAAAUCU